GAGAGGUUUUGUGAGUUAAACAAUGAAGUCACAUCCGGCUAGACUGCCAUUGCAAAUAUGCUAUGCAAUUGUUAAAGGCUAAAAGCUGCUAUUAACUCCGUGUUACUUUACCAUUGAUCCUUUCUGCCUGUUUGUCAGCCUAUCUUCGGCCCAAGUGAUUGAAAUCUCGCUGCAAGUGGAACGUAGAUGUUCUCUAGGAAGAGCGGAACUUCUUUCAGUUGCGGUAUCUAUCCAGCAGACUGCUUCGUUGAGAGCCGUCAACUGUUAUCUGUUGGUCCGAUGGUCGAAAGGGAGGGGCAAUUAUGAAUAUUGCGAGUGACCGCGAAGACGACCCGAUCUAGUGACAGAAAAGGCAACGCUGGUGUUGACAGCAGAUUCGUGUGAAUCGACGUCACCGUCACAGUUGCAGUAGCGGUAACGGAAGCGGCAGAGCGUUAUCUUUAGCGUCGUCGUCGUUAUGCCCACCAACAACUCGUCGACGGUUACGAUGACUAUGACAAACCCGUAUUCACCAGGAGCAGCACUAGCAUAUUUGAGAGCUUAGACGCCGUCAAGGCGUUCGUAUGGGACACGAAUACAUGAAGCGGCUGUUUGUAUUUACGAGAUACUGGAUGGUCGUCAUUCUAUUUACGCGCCUCUUGACCGACGAACGCUAGCAAGCGAGAACGGUUUGCUUAUUGACCAGCGCGUGGAACCUAUUGUCACAGCGAUUCGUUCUGAUGGAUGAAGCAAUGGAAAUCCUGCCAGUACAAAUCCAAUCUUUACCCGACCUAUGCAAGCCUAAAAGACACAUGAUCUGUUCUUCUAUAUUAACAAAGUAAGCUAUGAGCCAACCGUUGCCGAAAAUGCUUUCCGCUAAUGUAGGUGAUGCCUGGAGGCGUGGCAGCAAAUACACUUGCUUGAGUUGGGUGAGCAGGCAGUUACUCCGGCAGGUAAGAAGAGUUUAUGCCUUGGUAGUCAUCUGGAGUCACUCUCUCAAGAAUAACUCUGGCUGUAGUCGUAAUUGCGGGAGCGUAUUAUUAACCUUGUGGCUUUCUAUUGAAUGUAGUGAUGUUAUUUCGACAAAGCUGGUGUGAUAAAGCCAAGAUGACGGCAGGUCCUUGUGAAGAUACGAAGUCAACCGUUAGAGAAACCGUCACUCAACUCUGCCUCCCAUACGUCUCUCUGAUAGCACCGGCUCCUUGUGUAACGAUGAUAAGUCUAAAAUUGGGUUGGUAAUUCCCGAGAGGCAAACAAGGUCCGAAUAGCACGACUGACAUAAUCCCCUCAUGAACUAAGCCACCUAAUAAGGGAACUCGCUGUCCCCACAAUAGCGCUGAGAUAGCAGAAGAUGAGGCGAAUAUCGGCUAUCGUCGGGCAAUAGGAAGCGUUUACAACGACAGGACUGCAACAGAGGACACGACCGUGCGGGGAAAAACUGGUAUUUCUCACUCUUAUGCGAUUCAGUCGAUCGUCUGAUUGCAAGCAGUAUGGCGUAGCACACCGCAUAUAUAGAUAAUACAUGACACUAUUGGCCCGAGCUCUCCCGGCUGAACUGAACGAUGGUAUAGUUACGUAGUAAGAGAUACCCCACAACCUUAUAUCUCUGUCUUAUGCAUACGGGGCUCGUCUCUAGCAUCAGAGCAAAUAUUUCACUUUUACCAGAUUUUUUUGCUUCACGGCUCUGCAACGAACGUAACGCCAUGGUGACGUCGCGACGCGCAAAGCAAAAUUCACUCGAAAUAAGUAAUCCAGGCGGUCCGGCAAAAUACCGAAAUCAGGGAAACCGAACAUCUGAUGGGGUAGGUGAAAAUAGCUAAGAACCUUCCCCAUCUUCCCGUUUCUGGUUCCGCCUGAAAGUAUCGGCUGAGUCAACUUUUUUUCAGUUUUCUUUCAGUUUAGAAAGAUGGAAGAGAAAAGCCAAGCUGGUGGCAGUGGUGGUAACGGAAUAUAAAUAAAGAAAAAAAACGUCAGAGAAAAAAGAUGGAACGAAAAAGCUCACAGAGUCAUGUACUAACCGACUACGCUAUGGAUAUAACUUCAUAUCAGAUAGACGUGCUGUGAGAGGCCGCACUCCACGAACUAUGUGCAAUUGCGAGCUGCAAAACUGAGCGCUCAGAAUUAAUUGGUAACGGCCAUGUUUUUUGUAUGCACAUAUUGACAUCAUCCGAUAAUUGAGGAGUCACAGGAGCCUGUGUACCUUUUUUUUUUUAAUGUUCAUAAUCUCCAGUGUACCCUAUACACGUACGGCUAAGCCAAUGGCUACAACUCUACCCCCACAAUUUUUGCUGUGCAAAGCCGAAGGGCAUGAAGGAUGCAACAUAAGGCCGAGCCAAAAUGUCGUUUCUUGCUGAAACUAUGUAUAUAGUGUCUCGUAGUACUUCCAUUUACCAUCGACACUUGCUCGAUAGGAUUGGUUCAACAGGCCUCGCGACAUAACGCAGGUCCCCUUUCGGCGUUUAGGAGCAGAGGUUUUCACGAGCCCGACGAUUCAUGCAAGCACUCCAAAUGUGGGGAACAUUGUGCGUUUGUUUCGUGAGAACUUGUAGUCCGUGAUACCAGCAACACCCAAGUCAGUGCAAUCAGCGCUAUCUCGACUGAAAGGCACCGGUCUGGAUGGCCGGUGCACAUACGGUUCUCUCUAGAUACGCCAGGAGGGCGGGCUGCAGCCGAUCCGCUAUAACCCAUCGUCGCUAAACCUUGCCACUAUCAUCCGUUUUCACCUUAAAACUAUUAUGAAAAAGAUAAAAUGUCGAUUUCUUUUGCGGGCUGUGACUCUUGUGGCUAUUUAAUUAUCAAUGAGGAUUGUUGUCCUUGGUAUAAGUGGGCCUGAGUAUUUUAUGUACCUGAGAAGGAAUUCUGAAGUUUUAAUGGAAAAUUAAGCAAACCUUAGUUGAGGUUAUGCCGUUGUC
rnacentral:lncRNA from 1 species